rnacentral:rRNA from 1 species
GACGAACGCUGGCGGCGUGCCUAAUACAUGCAAGUCGAACGCUGAUUUUUUAACUGAUGCUUGCAUCGACCAAAAAAUCGGAGUGGCGAACGGGUGAGUAACGCGUGGGGAAUCUGCCUUUGAGCGGGGGACAACAUUUGGAAACGAAUGCUAAUACCGCAUAAAAACUUUAAACACAAGUUUUAAGUUUGAAAGAUGCAAUUGCAUCACUCAAAGAUGAUCCCGCGUUGUAUUAGCUAGUUGGUGAGGUAAAGGCUCACCAAGGCGAUGAUACAUAGCCGACCUGAGAGGGUGAUCGGCCACAUUGGGACUGAGACACGGCCCAAACUCCUACGGGAGGCAGCAGUAGGGAAUCUUCGGCAAUGGACGAAAGUCUGACCGAGCAACGCCGCGUGAGUGAAGAAGGUUUUCGGAUCGUAAAACUCUGUUGGUAGAGAAGAACGUUGGUGAGAGUGGAAAGCUCAUCAAGUGACGGUAACUACCCAGAAAGGGACGGCUAACUACGUGCCAGCAGCCGCGGUAAAAC